rnacentral:rRNA from 1 species
GGAGUUAGCCGGUGCUUCUUCUGUGAGUGAUGUCCUUCCUGCCGGCUAUUAACCCGCAGGCCUUCUUCCUCACUGAAAGUGCUUUACAACCCGAAGGCCUUCUUCACACACGCGGCAUGGCUGGAUCAGGGUUGCCCCCAUUGUCCAAUAUUCCCCACUGCUGCCUCCCGUAGGAGUCUGGGCCGUGUCUCAGUCCCAGUGUGGCUGAUCAUCCUCUCAGACCAGCUACGGAUCGUCGCCUUGGUGAGCCGUUACCUCACCAACCAGCUAAUCCGACAUAGGCUCAUCCGAUAGCGCGAGGCCCGAAGGUCCCCCGNUUUCCCCCGUAGGGCGUAUGCGGUAUUAGCCUGGGUUUCCCCAGGUUAUCCCCCACUACCGGGCAGAUUCCUAUGCAUUACUCACCCGUCCGCCGCUCGCCACCAGGGAGCAAGCUCCCCGUACUGCCGCUCGACUUGCAUGUGUUAGGCCUGCCGCCAGCGUUCAAUCUGAGCCAGGAUCAAACUCUGA